UAGUAGUUCUGUCAAGUAGUUUUGCUCAAUUGUAGAAAAUACUUCCACUUUUGUUUGGCUAGUUUGGAGAACAGAACAUUCUUUGCAUAUGUGCCAUAAAGUUUUUCUAUCUAUUCCCUUUCAAUAGGGGAAAGGGAAAAGGGAAUUAAAACUACUUUUAAUAGUAGUUUUCUCAUUUGAGAAAAAUAGGGAAUUAAUGUCCAAGAAUCUGGAAUCAUUCAUUAUCAAACAGCUUUUGCUAAAUCUCGAAUUUGAAUAUAACUCUGCUUGAGAUAGAUCAUUGUGUCAUCAGUAGUCCACUUGUAACUUACAACGUUUAACUGUGUGUAUCUUUUAUUUGUUUUUAUGUUUAUCAUACUAGUAAGUUUCGUUAAAUUUCCUUCGGCGACGAGAGAGUCAGUGGUAAAAUCAUCGCUUUUCUGUCAGAUGCAUUUAUAAAGUAUUUCACCACCAGCCCCAGUGACACUCCCCUCUACCUCAGCACAGCAGAAUGACACAGCAUCUUAGUUGUAUUGUAUUUUAAUUCAUUUUAUGUCACUUGUUUUUGUGUUCACUGUUCUUAUUUUGUAUGUAAAUAUAAUAUUCUUUAAUAUGUUUGUGCAAUGCCUUCUUAUAUUGUAUUUUUAAUUCAUCACUUGUUUCUUGCUUCCGUUUUUAUUUGGUGUGGUAUUUUUGACUUAAGAAAUACAAUCUUGAAUACAUACAUGCAGUUUCUCUGUGAGUGUAUGAAAAUUGAUUGUAAAAUUGACUGUGAUGCAAGGGGGCGCCAGAUAAAAUCUUGCCUAGGGCCCCAAAUUGGUCAGGCAAUGCUUGGUGCUGUACAAAAGAACAGAACAGCUAAAAGGAGCCAGUUGUUAUGAUAACAGCAACACCUGUGCUUUCUGUCGUGACAAAUCAAACCUUAUAAAACAUUUAAACACAAACCCAUUAAAGAAUCCAUUGAAAAAUCACUAACAGUGUGUUCAAACAAAUUCAAUAUUAUAUUAAAUUAUGAGUAACAAAGGAAAACUAGUACAAGACAAGGUGGGAGAUUUGUAAAUAUUGUUAUUUUAUUUCAUUCAAGUUAAAAAACAGCUUGGUAUCAAUGAAACAUGAAAGAGGUUACAAAAUACACAAAAUAUACUCUACUUACACAACAGAGGACAUCGAACAAUUUCAAUAUAGUUAACAUUUUACACAAAUUAUAAUGGAUGGAUGGACGGACUUACAUGCCCUGAUUUCAAUCAAUAAGUCAUUACAUUUUACUAGAACAAAAGAAACUUGUCUCAUUCACAAAAACUGACUUAACAUGUAUUUGAAACUCAUCAUAAACUGAAAAAAUUGAACAUACAAAAUGUUCACACAAAAAUUCAUAGACGAACAACACAAGAGAUUAGAUAAGUAGUAUCUUAAUUCACAUUAAGUCAUUAAGAGGAGACAUUUGAAAAGACUUACAGUGUAUCUCAAAUCCUAAAUAUACACAAAGAUUAGUCAAGGAAAGACAGAAAUGAUUUAUGAAAGCUUAUAAUGGGUCUGAAACAUGUUGCUGUACAGUGAGUCUUUAGUGCUUCUGUUUGAAUAACUCAAUGUAUCACAAGUGUACAGUCAUUUUUGGGAUAGAAGACAAUUCAGAAGUGUUUCCAUAGAAACCUCAACAGGUUUUUGAUCUGGG